CGCGUAGGUAUCUGUCCUUGGGUGGGGGAUAACUGUGGGAAACUGCAGCUAAUACCGCAUGAAACCUGAGGGUCAAAGGCGCAAGUCGCCUGGGGAGGAGCCUGCGUACGAUUAGCUAGUUGGUGGGGUAAAGGCCUACCAAGGCGACGAUCGUUAGCUGGUCUGAGAGGAUGAUCAGCCACACUGGAACUGAGACACGGUCCAGACUCCUACGGGAGGCAGCAGUGGGGGAUAUUGGACAAUGGGCGCAAGCCUGAUCCAGCAAUGCCGCGUGGGUGAAGAAGGUCUUCGGAUUGUAAA
rnacentral:rRNA from 1 species